GGCGUAGUAGUUCAAUUGGUAGAACAUAGUCGUUGAAGGGCCGGAGACGAUCCUUGUGGCAAGACCGCGGGGAUCGUCUCUGGUUAAUAAUGACUGGGAUGUUGGUUCGAAACCGACCUUCGCCA